UAACCUUUGACUUGAAAACAAUA
rnacentral:snRNA from 1 species